rnacentral:rRNA from 1 species
GAUGAACGCUAGCUACAGGCUUAACACAUGCAAGUCGAGGGGAAACGACAUCGAAAGCUUGCUUUUGAUGGGCGUCGACCGGCGCACGGGUGAGUAACGCGUAUCCAACCUGCCCACCACUUGGGGAUAACCUUGCGAAAGUAAGACUAAUACCCAAUGAUAUCUCUAGAAGACAUCUGAAGGAGAUUAAAGAUUUAUCGGUGAUGGAUGGGGAUGCGUCUGAUUAGCUUGUUGGCGGGGUAACGGCCCACCCAGGCGACGAUCAGUAGGGGUUCUGGGAGGAAGGUCCCCGACAUGGGAACUAUGACACGGUCCAAACUCCUACGGGAGGCAGCAUUGAGUAAUAUGGGUAAUGGGGCGAGAGCUUGAACCAGCCAAGUAGCGUGCAUGAUGACGGCCCUAUGGGUUGUAAACUGCUUUUAUAAGGGAAUAAAGUGAGCCUCGUGAGGCUUUUUGCAUGUACCUUAUGAAUAGGGACCGGCUAAUUCCGUGCCAGCCGCCGCCGUAA